UACGACUACAUAUCAGGCAUGUCAAUAAGCGGAGGAAAAGAAACUAACUAGGAUUCCCUUAGUAACGGCGAGUGAAGUGGGAAGAGCUCAAAUUUGAAAUCUUCAAGGUUCUACCUUGACGAAUUGUAGUUUAAAGAAGUGUUUUCUGUUGGAGUUUUGGUAAAAGUUCUUUGGAAUAGGACAUCAUAGAGGGUGAGAAUCCCGUAUUUGACCAUUUCUUCCAGCUGUGUGAUACACUUUCAAAGAGUCGGAUUGUUUGGGAAUGCAGUCCAAAAUGGGUGGUAAAUUUCAUCUAAAGCUAAAUAUUGGCGAGAGACCGAUAGCGAACAAGUACCGUGAGGGAAAGAUGAAAAGAACUUUGAAAAGAGAGUUAAACAGUACGUGAAAUUGUCAAAAGGGAAGCGUUUGACACCUAGUGUUGUUUUCUCGAAAAUCAAUUAAAAAUGACCGGAUUUUGUGUUGUAUUGACUUUAUCAGCUUUCUGCACUUUUUUCUUGUCUUUUUUAAUGCACUUUUCGUUUAACAAGUCAACAUCAAUUUCUUUUGUUGUAAAAGGAGUCAUUGGAAGGUGGCUUUCACUUCGGUGAAAGUGUUUAUAGCCUUUGACUUCUGCAAUCGGAGAGAUUGAGGUCUGCAGCGUAGAUCCUUUGGGGUUAGAUACAUUUGUGCUAAGUUAUAGUUUUUCAUAGACAACAUGUUGACUAUGAUUAAUCAUGUAGCUUACUCGCUUAUGCUAUUUUACCUACGCUUAGGAUGUUGAACGCGCACAGAGUCUC
rnacentral:rRNA from 1 species